rfam:Podospora anserina genomic DNA, chromosome 3.
UCGGGUAUGGUGUAGCGGUAACAUCGUUGACUCUCACUUCCCAGAAGUGUCUGUUUCUCUCAACAGCCCCGGGUUCGACUCCCGGUAUCCGAG